AGAUUGCCGCAAAUCGAUUGAUGGCAAGUUUACUGGUACCAGAUUUUCAAAAUAUGCGUCCUGUUGUCUUGAAUGGACUGCGAAAACGCAGUUCCACAACGAAAAGCCAAGUCAAAAGCAGAAAAGGCUAACUUCACAGUUCUUGGCAAUUGUUUGCUAGUGUUUUCGCCUCUCUCUGCCACGCCUCCGCGGUCUUUGCCUAGGGCAACUUUGAAAACAGUGGCCUGAAAUUUAAAACGCCAAUAGUUUCGCAUAGCCAGACCCUACCCGCCAUCAUACUUCCGACGAGAAAGGGUUUGGUGAAAUGCCUAGCAAUGCAAUUCUUGUUCUGCGCUCUUCCAGAUUCGUGGGAGGAAAACAUAGCGGAAGGUCUAGAAAUAAGCAGGUGUCACGCAAUCGCAUUCCACUCGUGUCGCGUGUGUUGAUACGGGCAAUUACAAUUCUAGUUAAUCACAGAAGUCGUCUGUGAACGGACGUCAUCAGAGAGGCUUUCGUCGAUCUUGUGGCAUGGGGCGUGCCUCUGUUUAGCCAUCUACGGUCUUUCUUCUCCGUCUGUCCGCCUAAAUUUAGAUUGGCUAAGUCUCGUUCAGUUACUGCAUACUUGUUGUAACGUGAUGUUUGAAUCCUGAGUGCCUUUAGAGUGUCUUUGUGUUAUUGUUUGUGUGACGUGUGGUGGGAUUGUAUAAACACCCCUCUGAUGCAGAGCCGCGCAAUCCACGUUUUUCUGUCUCCCUAGUACGCUGUACAGAUAUACUGUUCAACGCGCUGGUCUAUCUACGGAUGAAAGAGCGAAGCUUUGAGCAAGGAGAGAAGGUUGCCACAUGGAACAGACAGAGGUCUGGGUUGCGGAGUCUGAGUUGUGUUAGUCUUCUCGUCAGACACCUGUGAUCGCCCUGGAGACGUCUUCCACCUCAGUUGUUUGACUGGUCGUCUUGCUUACUUUAUGUGCCACCGGUCUGGCCGGGGAGAUUGAGAAAGACACCAAAUAUGAUGACAUGUAGUGUCCUCUUAUGGUGCACUCGUCUAUCUUCUUGUAUUGGAGCUUGGAUUCGCGAUCCUGCCAGCCUGGAACUUUGAGAACCAUUGCUACCAAAAACAAUCACUUCAAACAACACUCCGUUUUCACAGGGCCACAAUAACCUUAUGCAGCAGCUGUCAGUUAGCUUGUGAAAGUAUAAUGCUAGACUGAUAGAAAGUAGAGUACUUUUAGAUUCAGAUGACUGUUUUUGGGAUUUGCCUGUUGUGUCUGUUUCUGCCUUGUUCUAAGGAGCAAGGCAUAUAUAAGGCAUAUAUAUAUAUAUAUAUAUAAUAUAAAAAUAUAUAUAUAUAAUAUAUGUAUGUAUGUAUGUAUACAAAUACAUACUGUGAAACAAAUGUGAA